UGACGUAACCAAACCCGGGCCAGGAGCAUUGUGGGUAAAAAAAUGGUUGACUUGUGUAAGACAAUUAAGGUGGAUUGUAACUUCCCGCUCGCCGGUCAAACGCCGCCGUCAUGCUGCGGAUCAGCCGCCUCGCAGCCUGCCGGGAGUUGGCGACCAGCUCACCCGGCAUUCGCGGCUGGAGGAGCGGCCUUCAUCGACCCAUGGCCACGGGAGUGUGCCGGUGGACAUUCAGCCGGAACGAGGAGGUCGUCGACGCCCGGAGAAGAGUCAUGUUCUGGGGUCAGAAUGAGCGAAUGUUCUGCUCACAGCCCGGAGCUGAGGACCCGGGGAGGGAGCCCUCCGGCCGGCAUUCGGACAUCUCAGUGGUCGGCACCCCGGAUCCGAUCACUUGGAUCCGGUGUAAAGUCAUCUGCUUCCUGCUUAAACUCUACUUCGACCUGGAUGUCAGCUGUGAUGACUUUGGAAGAGGAGUCAAGCAGGCGGUGGCCCACGUCUCCGAUUUGAUGUCCAAAGGCAAAUACGUCCAAAUGAUUGGGCUCGUGUCUUUAGAGACAAUCCGAUACAUAGAGAAGAAGUGUCAGCCGCUGUCAGCGCGUCAGAGGCAGAAUCUCACCAUCUCCAUGGAAGACAUCCUAUUUGUAACUCCAGAAGACGUCUCUGUGGUCUUCGACGCACAUGGUAGAAAGUUCUGCAUCAUCGCCAUGAGAUGUUGGCACCUGUCCUCGCAUGAAGGCCCCGACGACCCUGAAGGCACCAGAAUAUUUAAAGUGUCCUCCGGUGAAGACGGCGUUCCACAGAAGAAAAUAGCGACGGUCGUCUAUGAGUUCCAUCGGGAGCUCACGGGUGGCGCGUCUUCGGACUGGACAGUAACCACAGUUUGGCACUGGAACUGGAACCAGAGCCAAGCUGACUGACUGAGAAAGCAGAGGAUUUUCAAACUAGGACCUAAAUCCUCUGUGUGGCCAUACUUUCCAACCAUCCCGGAUGUACCGGGAGACUCCCGGAAUUCAGCGCCUCUCCUGAAAACCUCCCGGAAGAAAUUUUCUCCCGAAAAUCUCCCGGAAGAAAUUUUCUCCCGAAAAUCUCCCGGAAUUCAGCCGGAGCUGGAGGCCACGCCCCCUCCAGCUCCAUGCGGACCUGAGUGGGGACAGCGGCAACAGUCUGUUUUCACGUCCGCUUUCCCACGAUAUAAACAGCGUACCUGCCCAAUCACGUUAUAACUGUAGAAUGAUCGAGUGCUAGUUCUUGGUUUCUUAUGUGGGUUUAUUGUUAGGCAGUUUCAUUAACGUCCUCCCAGCGCGGUAACAACACACAACAACAGCAGUCACGUUUUUGUCUACCGUAAAGCAGUUCGUCUGCCGUAAACCGCAAUGCUGUGACACUCUUAAACAGGACAAUACUGCCAUCUACUGGAUAGCCUCCGGAACACUGAAAUUCAAGUAUUUCUUUUAUUUAUAUGUAUAAUAAAAUAAAUAUAUAUAGAUAUAUACACUACCGUUCAAAAGUUUGGGGUCACCCAAACAAUUUUGUGGAAUAGCCUUCAUUUCUAAGAACAACAAUAGACUGUCGAGUUUCAGAUGAAAGUUCUCUUUUUCUGGCCAUUUUGAGCGUUUAAUUGACCCCACAAAUGUGAUGCUCCAGAAACUCAAUCUGCUCAAAGGAAGGUCAGUUUUGUAGCUUCUGUAACGAGCUAAACUGUUUUCAGAUGUGUGAACAUGAUUGCACAAGGGUUUUCUAAUCAUCAAUUAGCCUUCUGAGCCAAUGAGCAAACACAUUGUACCAUUAGAACACUGGAGUGAUAGUUGCUGGAAAUGGGCCUCUAUACACCCAUGUAGAUAUUGCACCAAAAACCAGACAUUUGCAGCUAGAAUACUCAUUUACCACAUUAGCAAUGUAUAGAGUGUAUUUCUUUAAAGUUAAGACUAGUUUGAAGUUAUCUUCAUUGAAAAGUACAGUGCUUUUCCUUCAAAAAUAAGGACAUGUCAAUGUGACCCCAAACUUUUGAACGGUAGUAUAUAUAUAUAUAUAUGUAUAUGCAGUGUUGGGACUAACGCGUUACUAAGUAACGCGUUACUGUAACGCCGUUAGUUUCGGCGGUAACUAGUAAUCUAACGCGUUAUUUUUUUAUAUACAGUAACUCUGUUACCGUUACUGCAUGAUGCGUUACUGCGUUAUUUUACGUUAUUUGUUAUGUAGUAUUGGCUAGAAACUGAAGAUCUGAGUGUGUUUUAUUGGAGCGCUCCGGUGGAAAAGAAGAGGCGUGCUUUCCCCCACCCACAGAAAGCACGCCUCCCCGCAGGGUGAAUGACGAGCCCGGCGGUUUGUUGCAACUUUGUGACUUUAUUGCACGCAGCCAUCGAGCAAGCUAGAGCACCUACACGCAGGGACGCCGAAAAGGGGGGGUAAAGGAGACGGAUUCUAGGGGCCCAUGAUGGAGGGGGGGGGCCCAGAGAGGCCCCUAAUGAUGAUGAAAUUAUAAUACAGAAAAAAUGAUGACACUAAGUUAUUAACUAACAUAUAUGUUAGUUAAUAACUUAGUGUAAUAAUAAUAAUCACAGAUGUUUUAUUUUCCAUGUCCUGGUAACAAUACCUUUAUUUGUUUUGGAAGCAUCAACACCUGCAGGGCCCUCCCUUCCCCCCUCUAUUUACGUAAAAUGGUUCAGUCCGACUGGAUCAGCUGCAGGUAGAGCACCGGCGAUUUGUUACAGACAGCGCCAGAGCGGGCUAAGCGGAGGAGACAACAGCAUGCCUCAAAAAUCAGGCAGCCAAAAAAGAAAGGAAAAGAAAAUAAGAGAGGAGAAGGAGUUGAAGGGUCGACAAUAUGUCACCCAAUAUUUCCAAAAAAAGGUGGGUUUGUUAGUUGUGGUGGAAAGUUAUGCAUAUUAACUUUGUCCCUGUCUGUGGUAAUAAGCUAGCUCACUUUUCUCACCAUGUUAGCUCAAGAAAACUCUGGAUUUUUACAUUUUACUGCUAUAUUAGUUAAAUAAUCAAUCCAGUCAAACAUUUAUCAAGCUGUUCUUAUUCAAUAAUGUCAUGGAAGAGUUUAUUUCCAAUUUAAGAAUCAGUGGUGCAGCAAAUAAAUGACUCAAAAUGAAUUCCAUUGUAUUCAGAGUGCUCAGUUCUUCCCCUACUGUACAUGUCAACUGUGAUGCUGUUCUUCUUUCAAAAAUAUGGUAAUGAUAGUCAAAAAUACCAUUAAAAUGCAUAAUUGUAUGUAAAAUAGCAUCAAAAAAUGUUGCCGCUGUGUUGGGGGUCCUGUAAAGAUUAUUUUCAUGGGGCCCAAAAUCCCUAGCGGCGCCCCUGCCUACACGCACUCACUGUCGCCGCUCCCUCACCUCUCUCGCCCACUCACUCACUGACGUCACUCACCUCUCAUGCUGUCAUAUCUUAAAGGGCCACACACACACACAUACGCUACUCUCAUAACAACUAACAAGACAUCAUGGCGAAGCCAGAAGUCGAGUUUUUUAACAUGGAGACAUUCUCAAUACUUUUCUUUUGUCGAGCACAAAGAAAAUAACAUUUUAGUUAAAUGUAAGUUGUGUCUUGGAUCAAAGAUCCUAUCUACUUAGAGUUAAAGUUAAAGUGCCAUUAUGUUGCAGCUAUUUAAAAUAGUUUUGUCAAUUUUUUCUGGCCUGAAAUAAAUUGGCCCUUUGAAACAUAUCUUUGUCUUUGUGUGUUGUAUGUAGACCACAUUGCUUUCUGAGUUCAGUGAUGCAAAUGCAUGUCAAGUUGAUCAACAGAUUGUAUUAUUCUCCAGUGCAAUAACAGUACUGAAAUGAAGGCUAAAAGGGCAUUAAUGGGAGCCUUAAAAAAAAGGGGGGAAA